rnacentral:rRNA from 1 species
GAUGAACGCUGGCGGCGUGCUUAACACAUGCAAGUCGAACGGGAAUUAUUUUAUUGCAACUUCGGUCGAUUUAAUUUAAUUCUAGUGGCGGGCGGGUGAGUAACGCGUGGGUAACCUGCCUUAUACAGGGGGAUAACAGUCAGAAAUGGCUGCUAAUACCGCAUAAGCGCACAGAGCUGCAUGGCUCAGUGUGAAAAACUCCGGUGGUAUAAGAUGGACCCGCGUUGGAUUAGCUGGUUGGUGGGGUAACGGCCCACCAAGGCGACGAUCCAUAGCCGGCCUGAGAGGGUGAACGGCCACAUUGGGACUGAGACACGGCCCAGACUCCUACGGGAGGCAGCAGUGGGGAAUAUUGCACAAUGGGGGAAACCCUGAUGCAGCGACGCCGCGUGAAGGAAGAAGUAUCUCGGUAUGUAAACUUCUAUCAGCAGGGAAGAUAGUGACGGUACCUGACUAAGAAGCCCCGGCUAACUACGUG